UGCGUAGGCGGUUUGGUAAGUCAGAUGUGAAAUUCCUGGGCUCAACCGAGGAACUGCAUUUGAUACUGCCAGACUAGAGUACUGGAGAGGAGACUGGAAUUUACGGUGUAGCAGUGAAAUGCGUAGAUAUCGUAAGGAAGGCCAGUGGCGAAGGCGAGUCUCUGGACAGUAACUGACGCCGAGGCACGAAGGCUAGGGGAGCAAACG
rnacentral:rRNA from 1 species